AUAUUGCCCUGAUGAAAAAUGCAUGUAGGCUAUACUUCGUCCAGGGUUAUUACCAAAUGUAAUUAUUUGUGUCCAUAAUAAAGAAUGCUAAUGCUAAAAGCAGUGUUCACAUAUAAAGGGGGAACAGUGGAGGGGAGGGCGAACUAGUGAGCGGAGAUAUAAGAGUUCGGGUUGUUGGCUGGGGCAGUUUUCGAGAGGUAGGCUAAUGCAAUUGUGUUACAAACCGAAAAAACUAUGAAAUCCGCCGUCGCAGCUGCCGAAACAACGGUAGCAUGGUAGCUUUGGACUGGGGUUUGCAAGACGAGCGCCGAUAUCUACACAUUACUGCAAUUUUAACACCGAAUUACUUAUACCCCUGAUCGAGUCGGGUAAACCACCGUCCGAGAUGGGGAAGGAGGUUAAUGGUGUUUCGCGGAGCCGGUUUGAGAUGUUCUCAAACAGCGACGAGGCCGUCAUCAAUAAGAAGCUGCCCAAGGAGCUGUUGCUACGUCGUGGAAUGUGCUCGCCCUGGACGGCAGUAAUUGGCAGAGGAUUGACCUUUUCGACUUUCAGAGAGAUAUUGAGGGGCGAGUGGUGGAGAACAUCUCGAAACGAUGUGGGGGAUUCCUGAGGAAGUUGAGUCUGCGGGGCUGUCUGGGGGUGGGGGACAGCGCUCUGAGAACCUUCUCCCAGAACUGCAGGAAUAUUGAGCUGCUUAGUUUGAAUGGCUGCACCAAGAUUACUGACAGCACAUGUAAUAGCCUCAGUAAGUUCUGUCCCAAGCUCAAGCACUUGGACCUCGCCUCCUGUACCUCAAUCACCAACCUGUCACUCAAAGCACUCAGCGAGGGCUGUCCUCUGUUAGAGCAGCUUAACAUCUCGUGGUGUGACCAGGUGACUAAGGAUGGCAUCCAGGCCUUGGUACGAUGCUGUCCCGGACUCAAAGGCCUUUUCCUCAAGGGCUGCACACAGUUGGAGGAUGAAGCACUGAAGCACAUUGGUGCACACUGUCCAGAGCUGGUCACUCUCAACUUACAGACGUGUUCGCAGAUCACAGACGAAGGUCUCAUUACUAUAUGCCGGGGCUGUCACCAUCUGCAGUCGCUGUGUGUCUCAGGUUGUGCCAACAUCACAGACGCCAUCCUCCACGCCUUGGGACUGAACUGCCCGCGCCUCAGAAUAUUAGAGGUGGCUCGCUGCUCUCAGCUCACAGAUGUGGGCUUCACUACACUAGCAAGGAAUUGUCAUGAGCUGGAAAAAAUGGACCUGGAAGAGUGUGUGCAGGUGAGCUAGCCUGCGCAACACGCACGUUCCCACACACACUAACAUACCUUGUAGCACCAUCCACGAGAAGGAUACGUUUGUUUAUGUCUCUCCCCAGAUCACGGACGGCACACUUAUCCAGUUGUCCAUCCACUGCCCUCAUCUGCAAGUUCUGAGCCUGUCUCACUGUGAGCUGAUUACUGACGAUGGCAUCAGACAUCUGGGAAGCGGGCCCUGUGCCCACGACCGGCUGGAGGUGAUCGAGCUGGACAACUGCCCCCUGAUCACGGACGCCUCGCUGGAGCACCUGAAGACCUGCCACAGCCUGGACCGCAUCGAGCUCUACGACUGCCAGCAGAUCACCCGCGCAGGCAUUAAGAGACUAAGGACCCAUUUACCUAACAUCAAAGUGCACGCGUAUUUCGCCCCCGUCACCCCACCCCCCUCGGUUGGGGGGAGUCGCCAGAGAUUCUGUCGCUGCUGUAUCCUGCUAUGAUGUGAAGACUGCGCCCCCACCCCCCCUCAGCCCAACUUCUGCCCCUCCACCCAACCUGGCUCGGCCUGGUCCGAUCCGGCCUCAAGGUAUACAUGCUGGUGUGCCCCCCCGAUUGGAGCUGCAGAGAGAGGGAGAGAGCCCAACCACCACAGGGUCUGGGAAGAACCUUCCCAAUGACAUUACCAAACCCACUCACAACGGCCUUUGUCAAACACACAAAUAAACACACACACAUCACCACAGAUGAACAUCAGUACAUUCCCUGCUGUCCCCAGGCCCAUGUUCUAAAGACCACCCAGCAUUGCAGGGUGGAUUACAUAAUAGAACCACUGCUGUUUACAGAUUAGGCUUCUAAUACACUGUAUGGACUACAUGAAGGUAGGGCUCACUUGAUACAAGGUUCCCUAUGGACUACUAUGACCUUUUACUAAAGGAUCAGGAAGAUUGGUUUGGAUAAGAAACUCACAUCCAAUGUGGGUGUUGGGAGGAUAACCAGAAACAUGGCUAGAGCUACUAUGAGGAUAUUGGUUUGGUAGAAAUGCCCUCAGAAUCUUUCAACGACUGUCAAGCUACCUCUAGACAUAACUGCACUUCAAUGUGAGUAGCUCUUUGUUAGCCUCUGGUUCCAGACUGCCCACUCAAAACCAAACUUUUUAUUUUUUAUUUUUUACUAAAGAUCCGUUUCCAUUGGCACUUUGAAGUCAACCCAGGUUGGGCUGGCCUUGGUGGCUGGCUGAAAUUGUUUCCACUGCCUCCAAAGAAUAAAUGAUGUCAUGUUGCUAGGUAUUCAAUAUGUGACUGCAGCUGGCUUCGCUAAUGUUGCUAACUGGCAAGAUGUUGAAGAAUUUAAAUUCACCCUCACAAUGCUGUAACUAACUUUAACCCAUACUCCUGUCAGUGCUAGCCAUACUCAGAACCAUGUAUUUAGCUUGCUAACUAGCUAAACGGUUAGCGUCGCUAUUGGCUAGCUAACUAAUCAAGCAAACCAGACGGCAGGUUUGAGUGUUUUAUUUAUUUAUUUUUAUACAACAGAUUUGAUAUGAUGUAGCUAGCUAGCUUUCAAUACGAACUGGCCAGCUACAAUUCCUGCUAGCUACAGUAGCUUGUUUUAACUCUUGAUUUGCUAGCUAAUAUAAUGGUAGCUAGCAUUUUAGGGCUGACUGUUGUCAUAAAAGUUUAUUGUGGAAUGCAAAAAUUUAUGGAUCCAGCUGUGGUGGCAAUUCGUGUCAUGUC